CGGGGCGUAGCGCAGCCCGGUUAGCGCACCUGCCUUGGGAGCAGGGGGUCGCCGGUUCAAAUCCGGCCGCCCCGACCA
rnacentral:tRNA from 1 species